GUCCAAGCAGCCACCUGGCCUGAGACUGGCCUGGCUUUGCCGUUUCCUUUGGCAGCUCCCAAGACCUGAGGGUAGGAGUCCUGGGCAGCUAGGACCUGCCAGGCCAUCCUGUAUCUCCCAUGGGGUUCACGACCCAGGGACCCCUGUUCCUAUCUGAGAGGAUCACUUCUUCCUGAAGCUGGAACCCGAUACUUGUUGGUGCCAACAACUGAAACCAGCAGGAAAAGAGGGUGUGUGAGCCGGGGGAAGACCAUGGUCUUCAAGAUCAUCAGCUCUGCAGGACUCUGAGAGACCAUUCCUGGCUCCCAAGGCCUAGCACUGCCUCCAACCAGCUGGUGACAUGCCAAGGUGGAGAUGCGCCCAAUGGCAUGAGGAGCUCAGUCAGGACCAACCUUGACCCCUGCUCGGGAUAUGGCAAACUGAUGUGCAGACACACAUGUCCCUGCAGACACACGUGUUCAUGUGGGGCACAUGUGUCCGUUUGGAGGCCAGAAGUCAACCUCAGGUCUCAGGAGGGAGAGCUGCUUAGCCUCAACCUGGUGCAUGGGCACAGGCCACCACGCGGACAAGAAAUGAAGGCGCUGAAGGAAGCUAAGAUGCCCACAUUAUUGCUGUCUGCUGCUGCCUGCUGCUGCCUGCUGCUGCCUGCUGCACUGGUAACCCUCCCCAGCAUCCCUGGAGAGACACCAUCCCAGUGUUCUAUACAACAGGCAAUAAGUAAACACCUGUUGGAGCUAGUGCCAUCGAUAUUGCCCGUGCUCAAUUAAAUAUGUCAUUUGUUUGGGAACUGGGGGGCCUUCUGUGUGGCAGUUUCAACGUUAAUAAACGAAUGAGUAAGUCAGCAAA
rnacentral:lncRNA from 1 species